UGAGCAAAAUAUCGUGGAAACCAGAGAAAUUCGAACCGAAUCCAAGAGUUCGAACGAAAUUGAAAGCGGAUCGAGAUUCGCUCGACCGCUUUAUGAUGUUGCGACUCCGAAGGCCUCAACGAUGACCAAAACGACGAGAAAUAUAUCGAUUACGAUGUAUUCCGACGGGUUUAAACGUUUUUGUGACUACGUUGAUGCAUU
rnacentral:lncRNA from 1 species